rnacentral:rRNA from 1 species
AGCCUGAUCCAGCCAUGCCGCGUGAGUGAAGAAGGCCUUCGGUUGUAAGCUCUUUCGUGGGGAAGGAAAUUAGCAUGGGCUAAUACCCUGUGUAGAUAGACGGUACCUGGAGAAGAAGCACCGGCUAACUACGUGCCAGCAGCCGCGGUAAUACGUAGGGUGCGAGCGUUAAUCGGAAUUACUGGGCGUAAAGCGUGCGCAGGCGGUUUGGUAAGUCAGAUGUGAAAUCCCCGGGCUCAACCUGGGAACUGCAUUUGAGACUGCCAAGCUGGAGUUUGGCAGAGGGGGGUGGAAUUCCACGUGUAGCAGUGAAAUGCGUAGAGAUGUGGAGGAACACCGAUGGCGAAGGCAGCCCCCCUGGGCCAAUACUGACGCUCAUGCACGAAAGCGUGGGGAGCAAACAGGAUUAGAUACCCUGGUAGUCCACGCCCUAAACGAUGUCAACUAGGUG